rnacentral:rRNA from 1 species
GAUUAAUAUUUAUUUAUUUAUUAGUUUUAUUAUUUAUUUAUUUUAUUAAAAAUAAUUUUAUAUUUUAUUGUUUUAGUAUAUUAUAUAGAAAUAAUAAUAAUAAUAAUAGUUUAUUAGUAUUGUAUUAGAAAAUUGAAAUAAUUUAAUAAUUUUUAUUUUUAAAGAAAAUUUUAUUUAUUGUACCUUGUGUAUCAGGGUUUAUUAAUUAUAUAUUAUUUAUUAUAAUAUUCUCGAUUUUAAAAGAUUUAAUAGGUUAAUAAAUAUAAUGUUACAAAAUUAUUUUUAAUAAUUUAUUAGAAAUGAAAUGUUAUUCGUUUUUAAAGGUAUCUAGUUUUUUAAGAAAUGAAUUUAAUUCAUAAUUAUUAUAUUUAUUAUUUUAUUUAUUUAAUUUAAUGUUAUUAUAAUUUUAUAUUCUAUGGGAUAAGCUAUAGAAUAAAUAUUUACAAAUUAUUUAUAAUUAAAUUUAUUUAUGCUUAAGAUUAGCAAUUAUUUAUAAGUAUGUUAUAGUUUAAUUUAUUAAUGUUAUUAUUUUUUAGAUUUUAAUUAUUUAUUAAAAUGUUUAUUUUAAUUUUUUAUAUAAAUUAAUAAUGAUAAAAUUAGUAUAUAAUAUUGUAAUUUAUAGUUUAUUUGUUAGGUUUAAUUAAAUAAUUCGGCAAAAUUAUAGUAUUCGCCUGUUUAACAAAAACAUGUCUUUUAGAAUUAAAUUUAAAGUCUGACCUGCCCACUGAUUUAUUGAAUGGCCGCAGUAUAUUAACUGUGCAAAGGUAGCAUAAUAAUUAGUCUUUUAAUUGAAGGCUGGAAUGAAUGGUUGGACGAAAUAUUAACUGUUUCAUUUAAAUUUUUUAUAGAAUUUUAUUUUUUAGUUAAAAAGCUAAAAUAUAUUUAAUAGACGAGAAGACCCUAUAAAUCUUUAUAUAAUAUUUUAUUUUAAUAAUUUAGGUUUAUUAUGUUAUUAUUAAAUAUUAUAUUUUGUUGGGGAGACAUUAAAAUUUAAUUAACUUUUAAUUAUUUAAACAUUAAUUUUUGAAUAAUUGAUCUUCUAUUAGUGAUUAAUAAAUUAAGUUACUUUAGGGAUAACAGCGUAAUUUUUUUGGAAAGUUCUUAUUAAUAAAAAAGAUUGCGACCUCGAUGUUGGAUUAAGAUAUAAUAUUAGGUGUAGUGGCUUAAUUUUUAAGUCUGUUCGACUUUUAAUUUCUUACAUGAUCUGAGUUCAAACCGGUGUAAGCCAGGUUGGUUUCUAUCUUUAAAUUAUUAAAAUAUUAUAGUACGAAAGGAUUUAAUAUUUGGCUUAUUAGCUUUUAUUUGGAAAUUUAUUAAUAUA